UGAACCACUUCGGUGGGGAUUAGUGGCGAACGGGUGAGUAACACGUGGGCAAUCUGCCCUGCACUCUGGGACAAGCCCUGGAAACGGGGUCUAAUACCGGAUACGACCAUCUUGGGCAUCCUUGAUGGUGGAAAGCUCCGGCGGUGCAGGAUGAGCCCGCGGCCUAUCAGCUUGUUGGUGAGGUAAUGGCUCACCAAGGCGACGACGGGUAGCCGGCCUGAGAGGGCGACCGGCCACACUGGGACUGAGACACGGCCCAGACUCCUACGGGAGGCAGCAGUGGGGAAUAUUGCACAAUGGGCGAAAGCCUGAUGCAGCGACGCCGCGUGAGGGAUGACGGCCUUCGGGUUGUAAACCUCUUUCAGCAGGGAAGAAGCGAAAGUGACGGUACCUGCAGAAGAAGCGCCGGCUAACUACGUGCCAGCAGCCGCGGUAAUACGUAGGGCGCAAGCGUUGUCCGGAAUUAUUGGGCGUAAAGAGCUCGUAGGCGGCUUGUCACGUCGGUUGUGAAAGCCCGGGGCUUAACCCCGGGUCUGCAGUCGAUACGGGCAGGCUAGAGUUCGGUAGGGGAGAUCGGAAUUCCUGGUGUAGCGGUGAAAUGCGCAGAUAUCAGGAGGAACACCGGUGGCGAAGGCGGAUCUCUGGGCCGAUACUGACGCUGAGGAGCGAAAGCGUGGGGAGCGAACAGGAUUAGAUACCCUGGUAGUCCACGCCGUAAACGGUGGGGCACUAGGUGUGG
rnacentral:rRNA from 1 species